rnacentral:rRNA from 1 species
GAUGAACGCUGACCGAAUGCUUAACACAUGCAAGUCUACUUGAACUUCGGUUUGGGUGGCGGACGGGUGAGUAACGCGUAAAGAACUUGCCUCACAGAUAGGGACAACAUUUGGAAACGAAUGCUAAUACCUGAUAUUAUGAUUUUAGGGCAUCCUAGAAUUAUGAAAGCUAUAUGCACUGUGAGAGAGCUUUGCGUCCCAUUAGCUAGUUGGAGAGGUAACGGCUCACCAAGGCGAUGAUGGGUAGCCGGCCUGAGAGGGUGAUCGGCCACAAGGGGACUGAGACACGGCCCUUACUCCUACGGGAGGCAGCAGUGGGGAAUAUUGGACAAUGGACCAAGAGUCUGAUCCAGCAAUUCUGUGUGCACGAUGAAGUUUUUCGGAAUGUUAAGUGCUUUCAGUUGGGAAGAAAAAAAUGACGGUACCAACAGAAGAAGAGACGGCUAAAUACGUG